rnacentral:rRNA from 1 species
CUGGCUCAGGACGAACGCUGGCGGCGUGCUUAACACAUGCAAGUCGUGCGAGGAUAUGAUUGGAAGGUCUUCGGACCGGAAGAUUGCAUCCGAGCGGCGGACGGGUGAGUAACGCGUGAGCAACCUGCCUUCAACAGGGGGAUAACGCAUCGAAAGAUGUGCUAAUACCGCGUAAGACCACGGCAUCACAUGGUGCAGGGGUCAAAGGAGCAAUCCGGUUGAAGAUGGGCUCGCGUCCGAUUAGCCAGUUGGUGAGGUAACGGCCCACCAAAGCAACGAUCGGUAGCCGACCUGAGAGGGUGAUCGGCCACAUUGGAACUGAGACACGGUCCAGGCUCCUACGGGAGGCAGCAGGUGGGGAAUAGUUUGGGCAAUGGGCGAAAGCCUGACCCAGCAACGCCGCGGUGGGGGAAGAAGGGUUUCGGCUCGUAAACCUCUGUACCUAAAGGGCGAAAAGAAAUGACGGUUACUUUAGGAGGAACGCCCCGGCUAACUACGUGCCAGCCGCCGC